GGACUACGCGGGUAUCUAAUCCGGUUUGCUCCCCCAGCUUUCGUCCCUCACUGUCGGAGCCGUUCUGGUGAGACGCCUUCGCCACAGGUGGUCCCCCAAGGAUUACAGGAUUUCACUCCUACCCCUGGAGUACCUCUCACCUCUCCCGGUCCCUAGUCUGCCAGUAUCCCUGAGACGCCUUCCGGUUAAGCCGGAAGAUUUCCCCAGAGACUUAACAAACCAGCUACGAACGCUUUAAGCCCAGUAAUAGUGGCCACCACUCGAGCCGCCGCGGUAAUACCGGCGGCUGGCACCGGUCUUGCCCGGCCCUUUCUUCACCGGUUAUUUACACCGGUGGACAGCCCGAUUUUACGGGCACUCAGAGUUCCCUUGUCACGGUUUCCCGCAUUGCAAAGUUUUCGCGCCUGCUGCCCCCCGUAGG
rnacentral:rRNA from 1 species